rnacentral:rRNA from 1 species
GUGUCAGCCGCCGCGGUAAUACGAAGGGGGCUAGCGUUGCUCGGAAUUACUGGGCGUAAAGGGCGCGUAGGCGGAUCGUUAAGUCAGAGGUGAAAUCCCAGGGCUCAACCCUGGAACUGCCUUUGAUACUGGCGAUCUUGAGUAUGAGAGAGGUAUGUGGAACUCCGAGUGUAGAGGUGAAAUUCGUAGAUAUUCGGAAGAACACCAGUGGCGAAGGCGACAUACUGGCUCAUUACUGACGCUGAGGCGCGAAAGCGUGGGUAGCAAACAGGAUUAGAUACCCGCGUAGUC